rnacentral:lncRNA from 1 species
GGUUGAAUCCAGCCACUUCAGUCACUCUUUCCAAGAGUAUCAGACUAUUUGCUUAGUUAAAUCCACUGGCUAUUUUACAUAGCUUUUACAUGAAUCUCGGCAGCCAGAACCAAAUCAGCUACUCAAUGUUAAGGCUGUCACGAGACUUCUUUUCCAUAACAGUUUGCAUUCAAUAUCUAUUUUCUCUAUCAGAAAAUCCUAAUAUCAUCUUGUUUCUUAUACAUCUCCAUAAAAGGGUUUCUAAAACAGACAAACACCUUCUUUACCCUUUUACAUCUUUUCAGUGGCUAUGCGGCUCCCAACAGUGUUGGCACUAUUUCUGGGUAAGAAUUGUAUUAUCUUUUCCCCAACAUCUUUAAAGUAAAAACAGCACAUCAUUUAGACCAUGUAUACUGACCACAGUAUGUUGAUAUUGUUACCUUGCUCUACUGUGACACAUAUCCAUGUUUUUAUAUCUCACUAUCUAUGUAGUUAUGCAUGUGUAACAGAUUCAACAUACACAUGACCUUUUGGGGUCUUUCUUGUUCAAUUUAUGGUAUUGGAAUGUUUAGACUGUUUUCUUUGCCCAGGUGCAGCACCUGACCUCUUCUUCAGCCUGCACUUCCGUGACAUCAGAGCAGUCGAACCAUGUGAGUUUACAUGCUUAUAUGCUAUAAAAGACGUGUCCUUCAUGGUUUAGUGUAAAUAAUAUAAUAUUGUAAUAUUGAGCACGAACAAGGCCAUUUCUGUCAUUUCUUGGUAGUCUAUCUUUUUAAUAAUUUAUUCGUAAUCCCAAUAAACCACAUUUGCCACUAUUCAACAGCUCACUGCUCAAAGGGAUUCAUGGUUGACAAAGACUUUUACAUGAACAACAUUCUGAUGGUAUAUGAACAGGACCUACAUCAUUGCCAGCUUGCCUGCACUCAGAACCCCGGGUGUUCCUACUUCAGCUACGUGGUUAAAGAGUCCACCAGUAGAGCUACCAGUGUUUACUCUGGUUAGUGAGGAGAGGAGCAUGGCUGAAGCCCAGAAGUUCUGCAGGGAGUACUAUGAGGAACUGGCCACCAUCUUCAAUGCUGAGGACCAGAUAGUAGCUCUGAGAGCAGUGUCAGCACAGAGCCUCACUGACGCAGUCUGGGUCCACUCCCAAUACCGUGCCUUUUGGCCCCAACUGGCCUAUUGGAAUACACCAAAUGCAAAGUGUGUUGUUCAUGGACAUACAGCAAAAGUUUGGAUUUUGAGAUAUUGCACAAUUUCAUGUCACUUUGUGUGCCAGAAAAGUAAGUGGAUUUUGCAUCCCUUCUCUCCCUUGUCUGAUAUUUGUAAACUACUACUCCAAAGUAACAUUAACACUUUAAUUGAAGGGGGUUAG